AUUGAACGCUGGCGGCAGGCUUAACACAUGCAAGUCGAGCGGGGUGAUGGUGCUUGCACUAUCACUUAGCGGCGGACGGGUGAGUAAUGCUUAGGAAUCUGCCUAUUAGUGGGGGACAACAUCUCGAAAGGGAUGCUAAUACCGCAUACGUCCUACGGGAGAAAGCAGGGGAUCACUUGUGACCUUGCGCUAAUAGAUGAGCCUAAGUCGGAUUAGCUAGUUGGUGGGGUAAAGGCCUACCAAGGCGACGAUCUGUAGCGGGUCUGAGAGGAUGCUCCGCCACACUGGGACUGAGACCCGGCCCAGACUCCUACGGGAGGUAGCAGUGGGGAAUAUUGGACAAUGGGGGAAACCCUGAUCCAGCCAUGCCGCGUGUGUGAAGAAGGCCUUAUGGUUGUAAAGCACUUUAAGCGAGGAGGAGGCUCUUUUGGUUAAUACCCAAGAUGAGUGGACGUUACUCGCAGAAUAAGCACCGGCUAACUCUGUGCCAGCCGCCGCCGUAA
rnacentral:rRNA from 1 species